GACGAACGCUGGCGGCGUGCUUAACACAUGCAAGUCGAACGGAAAGGCAAUGCUUUUGUGGGGUGCUCGAGUGGCGAACGGGUGAGUAACACGUGAGUAACCUGCCCUUGACUUAGGGAUAACUUCAGGAAACUAGGGCUAACAACGGAUAGGAGCUCCUGCUGCAUGGCGGGGGUUGGAAAGGUUCGGAGGUUGGGGAUGGACUCGCGGCUGAUCAGUUAGUUGGUGGGGGAGGUGAUUACCAAGGCUUUGACGGGUAGCUGGCCUGAGAGGGUGACCGGCCACAUGAGGACAGAGAUACGGCCCGGAGUCCUACGGGAGGCAGCAGUAGGGAAUAUUGCAUGAUGGGCGGAAGCCGGAUGCAGCAACACCGCGUGCGGGAUGACGGCCUUCGGUUUGUAAACCGCUUUCGCCGGUGACGAAGCGUGAGUGACGGUAAUGGGUAAAGAAGCACCGGCUAACUACGUG
rnacentral:rRNA from 1 species